rnacentral:RNase_P_RNA from 1 species
AGGGUCGGCCAGGCGGUCGCGUACCGCGAGAGCGGUCCGAGGAACGUCCGGGCUCCGCAGAGCAGGGCGGUGGGUAACACCCACCCGGGGCAACCCGCGAGACAGUGCCACAGAAAGCAGACCGCCCGCAUCCACGGAUGCGGGUAAGGGUGAAAGGGUGCGGUAAGAGCGCACCGGGCGGCUGGUGACAGCCGUCGCACGGUAAACCUCGCCCGGAGCAAGGCCAACAGGGGAUGAUGACGCGGCUCGCCGAGUCCCCGGGUGAGCUGCUGGAGCGGCGCGGCGACGCGUCGCCGAGAGAGAUGGCCGCCGCGGAGGCGACUCCGAACAGAACCCGGCGUAUCGGCCGGCCCGCUCG